CCUACGGGAGGCAGCAGUAGGGAAUCUUCCACAAUGGGCGAAAGCCUGAUGGAGCAACGCCGCGUGAGUGAAGAAGGAUUUCGGCUCGUAAAACUCUGUUGUAAGGGAAGAACAAGUAGCGUAGUAACUGGCGCUACCUUGACGGUACCUUAUUAGAAAGCCACGGCUAACUACGUGCCAGCAGCCGCGGUAAU
rnacentral:rRNA from 1 species